rnacentral:tRNA from 1 species
AGCAGUGUGGCCUAGAGGAUAAAGCAUGGGCCUGGGAGCCAGAGGAUUUGGGUUCAAAUCCCAGUUUUGCCA